rnacentral:rRNA from 1 species
UGGGGAAUUUUGGACAAUGGGCGCAAGCCUAUCCAGCCAUGCCGCGUGCGGGAAGAAGGCCUUCGGGUUGUAAACCGCUUUUGUCAGGGAAGAAAUCUUCUGAGUUAAUACCUCGGGAGGAUGACGGUGCCUGAAGAAUAAGCACCGGCUAACUACGUGCCAGCAGCCGCGGUAAUACGUAGGGUGCAAGCGUUAAUCGGAAUUACUGGGCGUAAAGCGUGCGCAGGCGGUUUUGUAAGACAGAGGUGAAAUCCCCGGCUCAACCUGGGAACUGCCUUUGUGACUGCAAGGCUUGAGUGCGGCAGAGGGGGAUGGAAUUCCGCGUGUAGCAGUGAAAUGCGUAGAUAUGCGGAGGAACACCGAUGGCGAAGGCAAUCCCCUGGGCCUGCACUGACGCUCAUGCACGAAAGCGUGGGGAGCAAACAGGAUUAGAUACCCUGGUAGUCCACGCCCUAAACGAUGUC